ensembl:lncRNA
GGGGACCCUGUGUGGUGGGGACCCUGCGUGAUGGGGACCCUGCAUGGUGGGGACCCUGUGUAGUGGGGACCCUGCAUGGUGGGGACCCUGGGUGGUGGGGACCCUGCGUGGUGGGGACCUGCGUGGUGGGGACCCUGCGUGGUGGGGACCCUGCGUGGUGGGGACCUGUGUGGUGGGGACCCUGUGUGAUGGGGACCCUGCGUGGUGGCGACCUGCGAGGUGGGGACCCUGUUCGGCUCCCUGGGCUCCUGCCAGCGCAGCUCCAUCUCUCCGUCUCUGUUUCUGAGGGUCUGUCUCUUAUUCUCUGUCUUUCUCUAUCUUUCUGUCUCUGUCUCAUCCUCAGACUCCAGGUACUGGGAGCUGACUGUCCCUGUCCCCGAGGGGUGAUCAGUGCCCACUUGGAAGACCCUCUACGACAGUUUAAAACGGAGGAGAAAUCUUUCCAUGGGUUCCUAAGGGCCAGCUGCUGUCCUGUUUGAGGGAAGAAAUAUUGAUUGCUAAUAUCUGCAAUAAUGAACCCCAGCAAAUGACACAAAUUACAUUUCAGAUGGCAACUUGACAGAUGACACCUCCAGAGGAGUCCGCAGAAACGUCAUUUGCCAAACUCGUAUUAAAUGUUCUCUGGAGACAGAUUUAAAAUAACUUUGGGGGUGAAAGUCUGAAUCGCUCAGACGUAACAGUGACAGCACGUGCUAGCUGGAAUUAUAUAUUUGUGAACUAAUUCUCGCAUAAAAUUAGAGUUUGAGGACUUGAUGGCUAAGCUGGCCGUUUUCAUUGUUAGCAAUUAUCUUGCAACCAGUUAGAAUCUAUACCCCCAAACCUCAUUUAAAUCUUUCCCACAAAGCGCUGCGUAAGGAAAAGCAGCCCCUACAGAGCAUCUGGGGAAGUUUCUCUUUCUCAGAUGGGGGGGCUGCCUGUAACACUGUGAGUUGGCGGACAGCCCUGUGUGGGCGGUGCGGGGGGACGUGCGUUUAAUUCACGAGGGUUACGGGGCAGCCCGGCCCUCUGGGCAUGCCUGUGGCUGGACCAUGCGUACGAGGUCACACACGGCUCUGAUUUCACGGCCCCGAGAUGGGAGACCCUUCUGUUCAGACCUCCAGGGGGCAGGAGGAGAGGAGAGAGAUUUGGGGUCUUCAGGUACAAACCUCAGGGUUCACGCCGGGCUGGGCUGGACACUGACGGCGCUUUGCUCUGUCCGCUGUGUUCGCUGCAGGCUGGGCAGGUGGGGACCGCGGGAGGGCACUAUCUCUGAGGCCACGGGGCAGGUCUGGAGGGCUCCAGCAGACGCAGUCGCCUCCCCAUCCACAUCCCCAGGGCCACGGCUGUCACUUCCUCACCUCGAUGGCUGCGAGGGGUGCCCAACCGCGUCCUGCCUGCCUCGCUAAUCUACGCCGAGGUCCUGGACGGGAGCCGGGGUCCAGGCGCCCCAGUGCCUGCCCACGGCUGACCGGCUCUGGAUGCAUGCCCUGUAGCCCUUGGUGCCCUUCUCAGAAGGACCCUGCGAAGGACUUCAUACCAGCUUCAGCUCUACCUAAUCUCCCCGAAAUGGCUUCUGGUUCAUCACUGAAAAGCCUCCCGGGGAAGGGCUGUGUGUUCACUGUCAAACUUGGACCCUGCCCCCCUGUGCCUUGCGGGCACCCAUGGGAUGAACAGUCACAGGUCAGCCGUCCGCAUCAGAAGAGGGCUCGCCCUGUGCUUACGUGGCUGUGAGGCCGUCCUCACGGGGCCAGUCCCUCUUGGGUUUCUGCUCGGCCGUGCAUGGCAGCGUGGUGGGGAGGUGCCCGGCUUGGGGCCAGGCUGUCUGGGUCCAGUUCUCAGCCUUACUAGGUACUGCUGUAUCAUCUUGGGGAGUUUGCUCGAUCUCUCUGUCUUCCCAUCUCUAAAGCAGGGCUGAAAACUCUAGCUGCCUCAGGCUUGGUGUGAAGAUGAGCAAGUUAGACACAAGCGCGUGCGUGUAAAACCGAGGGACUGUGAACAGGGUCAAAGGAGUGUGCUGGCACUGCCGUCGGACGUGAGGCUGCAGUCAGGCGCCUUUCCUGCCUGGUACCACGGGAGCAGCUGGGCGAAGCGGGCAGGGAGCCCUUUAUGACCCCUCACCACUGCAUCUGUCGUCGUUCAGUCGCUGAGCUGUGUCCGACUCUUCAUGACCCCACGAACCGCAGCAAGUCAGGCUCCUCUGCCCUUCACGACCUCCCAGAGUUAGUGCAAACCCAUGUCAGUUGAUUCAGUGAUGCCAUCCAAUACCUCAUUCUAACCUA